AGCCGCCUCCACCGCUUACUUGCACGAUGCAGUCCGGAUCCGUCAAAGUCGAUGGGGCCCUUCUCUCCUAGCAGCGCAGCGCCGCCAAGCUCUUCGUUCUCAUUGUCGACAUACGUGGUCUAGAUCUCCAGAUGCGGCGCACUGGUCUCGGGGAUCUCGGCGAGGAAGGCGGCAACGGUUGCGUGGCGGCGAUCGCCUUCAUCCAUGGCAAGUUUUCACGGGGAUUCAGAUCUCCAUCAAAUCUUUCAGUAAUGAAAUACGUUAUGCUGAUGGCCUGAUGGGAUGCCAGAUCCUCUCGGUAUAGGACGCUAGAUGUUUUUCAUCCUGGUGUGGCAUAAUCUCCAUUCUAACCUUAAGGAUAUGGAUGUCAAGAUGGGUCGCUAGGAAAUAUUAUAACAACGUGAAGGAUCGAUGGUUUGAGAAAUUUUCAAGAGGUGGCAGUAAUCAGAUAGUACAAGCAACCAAGUGAAUUAUGUGGACUCGAAAUUCUUGAUGGCAGAGGAAGCUAAUUAAUAUUCUUUUUUUUGGAAGAUAUCAAUAUAUACAUAGAAUAUUACAUCUCCAAGAAAAUGUAUACUGAGAUUGAAACCAUGUUCAUGUAUUUUUUCGUUCCGAUUUGAUUUUGUUGUCAACAAUGCCCAUUAUAACUUUUACUUACAUCAACGUGC